GAUGAACGCUGGCGGCGUGCCUAACACAUGCAAGUCGAGCGGCAGCGCGAGUAGUUUACUACUUGGCGGCGAGCGGCGGACGGCUGAGUAACGCGUGGGAAUUUGCCCCAAAGUGAGGAAUAACUGCCCGAAAGGGUGGCUAAUGCCGCAUAUGAUCUUCGGAUUAAAGGAUUUAUCCGCUUUGGGAGAAGCCCGCGUCGGAUUAGGUAGUUGGUGAGGUAAUGGCUCACCAAGCCGACGAUCCGUAGCUGGUCUGAGAGGAUGACCAGCCAGACUGGAACUGUGACACGGUCCAGACUCCUACGGGAGGCAGCAGUGAGGAAUCUUCCACAAUGGGCGAAAGCCUGAUGGAGCAACGCCGCGUGCAGGAUGAAGGCCUUCGGGUUGUAAACUGCUUUUAUAAGUGAGGAAUAUGACGGUAGCUUAUGAAUAAGGAUCGCAA
rnacentral:rRNA from 1 species